rnacentral:lncRNA from 1 species
AUUUUGGCAUCAUGUUAUUACUCCUUCUUUCUCACAUUCUCUCUCUCUCUCUCUCUUUCUUCCUAGCCUGUAACUGUAACCCUGAUGGCUCUACUCACGGACGAGAAACUUGUGAUCCGGUUUCGGGUCAGUGUCGCUGCCUCCCCAAUGUAACCGGACGAGAGUGCACCCAGUGCCUGGAAGGCUAUUUUGAUCUACAGCCAGGGGUGGGGUGCAGAAGGGCAAUGCACCUGCCAUCCCGGCGUGACAGGACUAUCGUGCAAUCAGUGCCAGGCUGGGUUCUUUGGAUUCUCUUCUCAAGGCUGCCAAGCCUGCAACUGUUCCCAGAUUGGUUCGGUGUCCCUCCAGUGCCAUGACAACAGCACUUGUGUGUGUAAGAAGGGCUUUGUGGGUAACAAGUGCGACCGGUGUGAUGUGAACUACUUCUUCGACUUGGAAAGUAAGCAGUGCCAGGAGUGUCCCUUCUGCUACAGCCUCGUGAAAGAGGAGGUAGGAUUCUGCUUUGAUCAGCCAACUUAGUCAGCCUUUCAGUCAGAUUAAUUGAA